rnacentral:rRNA from 1 species
AGAGUUUGAUCAUGGCUCAGAGUGAACGCUGGCGGUAGGCCUAACACAUACAAGUCGAACGGCGGCACAGGAGAGCUUGCUCUCUGGGUGGCGAGUGGCGGACGGGUGAGGAAUACAUCGGAAUCUACUCUGUCGUGGGGGAUAACGUAGGGAAACUUACGCUAAUACCGCAUACGACCUACGGGUGAAAGUGGGGGACCGCAAGGCCUCACGCGAUUGAAUGAGCCGAUGUCGGAUUAGCUAGUUGGCGGGGUAAAGGCCCACCAAGGCGACGAUCCGUAGCUGGUCUGAGAGGAUGAUCAGCCACACUGGAACUGAGACACGGUCCAGACUCCUACGGGAGGCAGCAGUGGGGAAUAUUGGACAAUGGGCGCAAGCCUGAUCCAGCCAUACCGCGUGGGUGAAGAAGGCCUUCGGGUUGUAAAGCCCUUUUGGGGGGGACGAUAGUGACGGUACCCCCCGAAUAAGCCCCGGCUAACUCUGUGCCAGCAGCCGCGGUAAUAC